GUAAAUCUCACAUACUUUGACCAGUGGCUAAUUCCCAUCACCACCACCACCACCACUGAUCUUUUCGAGACAGAAACCGCCAGCAGCCUCCCUCGGAAAGAAUAAAAGCCUAGAGAAACAGCCACUCUCUGUGUCUCUUUCCUCCCUCUGGAACAAAACCCUAAUUCACCUCAACCCCGUAUCAGGCAAUAAAACAAAACUCAGGAGUUAACUUCCAUUUUUUUUUCUCUGUCCUGCUGCAACCAUCAAUUUUCAUGUUCCGUGGGUUGUUUAUUCUCUUCUUUACGCAUACCCUUUUGCCCAAAGACAAAAUAAAAGCAAGCCAAACGCUGUCUUCUUUGCAGAUCAGAGCUUUAAAGACAACUUGGGUACUUUCUUAUAGCUCUAUUCUUCCAGAAGAUAUCUCUAUCUGUUUCUCUCUCUUAAUAUUACCUCAUGCUUUGUUUUGUAGCUUCCCUCUUAAAUGGGUAUGUGUAAGUAAGUAAGCAAAAAUCUCUCUGCAUAUCUCUCUCCAUAUCUCUGUCUCUCCACACGUCUUUCCUUUUAUCUCUCUCUGUCUCUGUGUCUGUGUAUUGAAGAGUAAUGGAUUCUGGUAAUAGUGGAAGUAUGCAAUCUUCAAGUGGUGGAGAUGAGGAGUAUGAUUCACGCGCAGAGUCAAUCUCAGCUUUCUUGAACAACAAUAACAACCCAUUAAGCCAUGUUGGUCCCAUGCCUAACCCACCACCACCACAGCCACCACCACCACCACCAGACCACCACCACCACCAAACCCAUCACCCCUCUUCAUCAUCCAUGUUUAACCUCUUAUCAAACUACUUUGAUCCUUUAUCCUCAUCAAGAUCGCCGCCGCCGCUCACAAACCCAAAUUCAUUCCUCAAUCUUGAUAUGGUCUGGUCCAAAAACUUAAGAUCUGAGACGAAUUGCACUGAUCUUGGUGGUUUCGUAACCCCAUCCUCACCAACCCAACAAUUUUUCACCAACCAACCACAAAGUAGAACCACUUUUCCUUCAGUACAAAUCCCCCAGGGACCAGAAAUUGUUGCAAGAGGUUCGGGUUCAGCUUCAGCUUCGGGUUCGAAUGAUCAGACCAACAACAACACCACCACCACCCCCACCAAUAAUAUUGUUCGUAAUCCUAAGAAGAGAUCCAGAGCUUCGAGGCGUGCACCAACCACUGUUUUGACCACAGACACCACUAAUUUCCGAGCCAUGGUUCAGGAGUUCACUGGCAUCCCUGCACCACCCUUCACAUCCUCGCCUUUUCCAAGAAGCAGGCUUGAUCUAUUUGGCACUGCUUCCACUUUGAGAUCAGCUGCCCAUUUGGAAUCCCCUACACCUCCUUAUCUUUUGAGACCUUUCGCCCAAAAAAUCCAACUUCCCCCUCCAUUUCUCUCUCCUUCGUCUUCAACGUCCUCAUCUUUUUCCACUUCUUCUAUGGUGGAUGCUAUAGCUUCCACUACUACAACUAACAUCAAUUCUGGUACUGGAACCAAUACUAAUACUUCUAAUUCUUCAACUUCCAUUAACUACCAGCUAUCGUCUGAUUUAGGACUUCUGAAGCAGCCACAGAAUCUACUCAACAUCAACAUGCCAAACCCAAUUCUCAAUCCCCACUCUCUCCUUCCUAAAUACCCACUUCCCAAUUCAGCCAUUCUUGACACCUCCAAAACGCAACAAGGGUCGUUGGACAUGUCAUCGAAUGAUUCACAUCUGAAAAUGGGUGUUCUGGAAGAGUUCGGUUUGAGCCAUGGCCAUGUUAGCACGAACCUCACUCGACUCCCAAACAUAGUAUCAUCAUCAAACACAACAUUGCGAGGAAGCGACAGCAGCAACAACAACAACCACCGCCCCGCAAACUGGGGAGAUGGAGUGGGAUCGAACGAGGGUGAUCAAGGUCUGUUAAGGUCCAUCAAUGGUAAUUACAGUAACUCACAGCCAAGAGUUACCAAUGGGAAAGCAAACUACUCGGCUUCUUCAUCAGAUUUUCAAGGCGAUAAGGGGCCAGAGAAUGUGACUGCUGCAAGAAGUGAAGGUAUGAUGGAAUCAUGGAUUUGUUCUU
rnacentral:misc_RNA from 1 species